rnacentral:rRNA from 1 species
AGAAUCAACGCUGGCGGCGUGCCUAACACAUGCAAGUCGCACGAGAAAGGGACUUCGGUCCUGAGUACAGUGGCGCACGGGUGAGUAACACGUGAAUAAUCUACCUCCGAGUGGGGAAUAACUGAGAGAAAUCUUAGCUAAUACCGCAUAGCACUUACGAGUCAAAGCAGCAAUGCGCUUGGAGAGGAGUUCGCGGCAGAUUAGUUAGUUGGCGGGGUAAUGGCCCACCAAGACGAUGAUCUGUA